ensembl:lncRNA
AGUUGAGUUUUACCUGGUGAGUCCUGGUGUCGCAGCUUGUUUUCUCCGUGUGAAGGUGUUUCAGAGUGACGGCAGCCUGCAGACACAGAGGACCAGUGACGGAGAAGCAGCCCAGGAUUUUCUAUGUUUCUGCUCAAACCCAGACAGCAGAGAUCUGUACUGGUGGGAAGAAGCUGAGUGGAGUCCUGACUGGUUCCAGGAAACAGAUCACCUGUCUGAGCGUCCAGGAGUGGACUGGAAACUUUCUUCUUCUUCUUCAGCGCUUUGAGUAAAGUGUGAAGGUAGAAAGUGUGUGUGAGCUGCUGUGAGUUGAGCAGCAUGGAUGAGUGUGAGGACAGAGAGGAGGGAGUCCCUCCCUCUAAAAGCUCUCUGUGUGGGGAACAGGAGAACCAGAGCAAAGCUCAGAGGAAUCCACCUGGACCUGGACCUGGACCUGGACAUGAACCUGGACCUCCAUCCAGCUGUGUGUCCUUCAAGAGUGACUGGUCUAAGGAUUGUCCUCCUGAAUUUAAAGGAGAACCAGGUCCUGCUGCAGACGGAGUGGAGCAGCAGAACUCAGAGGUUCCCAGAGUUCAGUCUGUCCAGCAGCAUCACCUGGACUCC